CGUUCCCAUACCGAACACGGAAGUUAAGCCCUCCAACGCCGAUGGUACUGCCAAAAGGUGGAAGAGUAGGUCGUCGCCAGGC
rnacentral:rRNA from 1 species